AUGUACUGCACACGUACACACCGGUUCCUCCGCGCCGUCUGCACGCACCUGACGACUGCUUGCCACGUUUUGCCAGCC
rnacentral:sRNA from 1 species